GUAGGUGGCAAGCGUUGUCCGGAAUUAUUGGGCGUAAGGCGCGCGCAGGCGGUUCUUUAAGUCUGAUGUGAAAGCCCACGGGCUCAACCGUGGAGGGUCAUUGGAAACUGGAGAACUUGAGUACAGAAGAGGAAAGCGGAAUUCCACGUGUAGCGGUGAAAUGCGUAGAGAUGUGGAGGAACACCAGCGGCGAAGGCGGCUUUCUGGUCUGUAACUGACGCUGAGGCGCGAAAGCGUGGGGAGCAAACAGGAUUAGGUACCCUGGUAGUCCACGCCGUAAACGAUGAGUGCUAAGUGUUAGGGGGUUUCCGCCCCUUAGUGCUGCAGCUAACGCAUUAAGCACUCCGCCUGGGGAGUACGGCCGCAAAGGCUG
rnacentral:rRNA from 1 species